UGGAGAACUGCUGUGGGCGGAACUAUAUAACGUGACUGAACUUUCCAUUUGUCUCCUGCUGCUCUGUGUGCAGCAGAGCUAUGGAGAACUGAUGUGGGUGGAACUAUAACAUGACUGAACUUUCCAUUUGUUUCCUACUAUUCUGUGUGCAGGCAUCAAAUAAAUUCUAACAUCAUCCAUGUCCAGAGUGUGACUUCUGAUGAAGGGUGGGACAAACCACACUGUAAAAAAUAAUUCUGUAAAAUUUACGGUAAAAAAAACAGUAGCUGUGGUUGCCAGAAUUCUACUAUAAAAAAUACGGUAACAACAUUUUAGGUUUUAACUGAAAUUUACGAUUACAUACGAUAAUUUCAUUAACUGAUAUAAUGUUAACAUACCCAACCUGUUUAAGUACUGAAAUCUGUUUUGUACCUUAGAAAUACACUGAUAACCACCAAAUGCAGGUGGUGGUGAGAAAGUCACAUGAUGAAACAAAACCCAUCACAAGCGGCUUUUCAAUAAUAACAUAUAUAGAAGGUGCACAGUGUCAUUCACACAAACACUAAACACCAUCAUGGUGAGACUCAUUAAGCUGAAAUAUGCAAUAAACAUUCAUUUAACAACAUUAGAUGUAACAUACAACCCUAAUAAACAUAACUGAUAAGAAAAAACUAAAAAGAAACAUAGUUAUUUCAAAGAAAAAUAAAAUAAAAUGAAAACAAAAUUUGAAAUGCAAAGCAGGGAAUUCUGGGAACGUCAGUUUACGUUUUUUCCCUGUAAAUUUUACAGGAAGUUAACAGGUUUUCACUGUAGCAUUUUCAGUUUUUUACAGUUAAAAUCAUGGUCAUUUUUUACAGUGCAGGUCAGAUAAAGACAAGAAGGUCACACAUACGUACUUACUUUCUACACAUAAAGACACAUAUUACUCCAACACAUAAAAAGCUGACUAGCACAGUGUCUAAACUACCUUUGUGUUACAUUUUUGGGUGAACUAUCCCUUUAAGUGCAUAAUCUGUAGGUUCUUUAAGAAGGCUUCCUGCUUUCAGAGUGGCUGAUGGCUUUGAUGAGCAUCUUCUCUCAUGUGAUGUUAAAUAUUUAUCACCAGAUUAUGUCAACCAAUUAUAUUGUGCCAUGUGCAAACAGUGAAUUAUUAGCAAGUGUCCAAUAUGUGGCACCUAUUUUUUGAAGGAUAGGAUUUCUGUUCAUCUUGCAGGUGUUUUUUUUUUUUUCUGGAAGUAUGUAUCUGAAAAGCCAAACUGCAUCCCGAAAAAGAGAAAGUUGAGGUUAUAUGGUGUGUUUAUACUUUAGACAUGAAGUUAUUUGUGUUGCUGUUAAAUAUAUAAAAACAGUUUUUUUCCCCC